CACCUGGUUGAUCCUGCCAGUAGUCAUAUGCUUGUCUCAAAGAUUAAGCCAUGCAUGUCUAAGUAUAAGCUUUAAACGGCGAAACUGCGAAUGGCUCAUUAAAACAGUUAUAGUUUAUUUGGUGAUCGAUUACUAUUUGGAUAACCGUAGUAAUUCUAGAGCUAAUACAUGCGUCAAGGCCCGACUUCGGAAGGGCUGCGUUUAUUAGAUACAGAACCAACCUAGGCUCCGCCUAGUCCUUGUUGGUGAUUCAUAAUAACCCGGCGAAUCGCACGGCUUGUCCGGCGAUGGACCAUUCAAGUUUCUGACCUAUCAGCUAUGGACGGUAGGGUAUUGGCCUACCGUGGCGUUGACGGGUAACGGGGAAUUAGGGUUCGAUUCCGGAGAGGGAGCCUGAGAAACGGCUACCACAUCUAAGGAAGGCAGCAGGCGCGCAAAUUACCCAAUCCUGAUACAGGGAGGUAGUGACAAGAAAUAACAAUACAGGGCAAUUCUGUCUUGUAAUUGGAAUGAGUAGAUUUUAAAUCUCUUUACGAGUAUCAAUUGGAGGGCAAGUCUGGUGCCAGCAGCCGCGGUAAUUCCAGCUCCAAUAGCGUAUAUUAAAGU
rnacentral:ncRNA from 1 species